GACGAACCGUGCGAACGUUGUUCGGAAUCACUGGGCUUAAAGGGCGCGUAGGCGGGUCACCAAGUCCGGGGUGAAAUCUUUCGGCUUAACCGGAAAACUGCCUUGGAUACUGGUGACCUCGAGGGAGGUAGGGGUCUGUGGAACUUCUGGUGGAGCGGUGAAAUGCGUUGAUAUGCGGAGGAACACCGAUGGCGAAGGCAAUCCCCCUGGACCUGUACUGACGCUCAUGCACGAAAGCGUGGGGAGCAAACAGG
rnacentral:rRNA from 1 species